rnacentral:rRNA from 1 species
CCUACGGGAGGCAGCAGUGGGGAAUAUUGGGCAAUGGGCGCAAGCCUGACCCAGCAACGCCGCGUGAAGGAAGAAGGCUUUCGGGUUGUAAACUUCUUUUGACAGGGAAGAGGAGAAGACGGUACCUGUCGAAUAAGCCACGGCUAACUACGUGCCAGCAGCCGCGGUAAUACGUAGGUGGCAAGCAGUGUCCGGAUUUACUGGGUGGAAAGGGCGUGUAGCCGGGUUGACAAGUCAGAUGUGAAAUCCUGCGGCUUAACCGCAGAACUGCAUUUGAAACUGUUGAUCUUGCGUACUGGAGAGGCCGCCGGACUUCCUCGUGUAGCGGUGAACUGCGUAGAUAUUAGGAGGAACACCAGUGGCGAAGGCGGUCUGCUGGACAGCACCUGCCGGUGAGGCGCGAAAGCGUGGGGAGCAAACAGGAUUAGAUACCCGUGUAGUC